UACGUAGGGGGCAAGCGUUGUCCGGAUUUAUUGGGCGUAAAGCGCGUGUAGGUGGCCAAGUAGGUCCGCUGUGAAACUUGAGGCUCAACCUCAAGCUGUCGGUGGAAACCCCUUGGCUAGAGUCCGGAAGAGGAGAGUGGAAUUCCUGGUGUAGCGGUGAAAUGCGCAGAUAUCAGGAAGAACACCAAUGGCGAAGGCAGCUCUCUGGGACGGUACUGACACUGAGACGCGAAAGCGUGGGGAGCGAACAGG
rnacentral:rRNA from 1 species